UGCGGGAGUGGCGAAAUUGGUAGACGCACCAGAUUUAGGUUCUGGCGCUCCCUGGUUCGAAUCCAGGUACCCCAGCCA
rnacentral:tRNA from 1 species